CCGGGUCUGCUUCUCAUUCUCUCAGAUAGAUUUAUAACUUAUGUAAAUAAAUGUACAUGAUUAGCCAAGUGAUUAUGUAAAUGGCGCCUUCCUUUUCUCGUCCCAAUUCUGGUGACAAUAAUGAUUAAAAGAUGGAAAAUAGAGUCAACAUGUAAAAGGUAAAGAAGCUGGAAUUUAAUCUGAAAAAGCAAGUGUAAUGCCUAUUUCACGGCAAGGUUCCAUUUGCACAAAGGAUAAAAUAAAAGAGGUCACUGACUCUCAAAUUUCCAUGAAAGCUCUAAAACGGUAGCAAAUCAGGUAAAAUCUGACUACCUAUAUUCACUGAUUUUCUCAUUAAAAUUAGUGGCUCUUAGGAAAUGGCCAGGUAGACUAAUUGCUAUACUGUAUGAAUGGCUCGUACUAUGAUUACAGUGAUAUACAGUAUAUAGCAUACACUCAAAAAAAUCCCUGAAUUUACUAAUAGACAAAAUAUCUGUGUAGAAAGAGCCACAAAUCCAACUGUUAAAUUAUUAUUUUUAAAAUUCUUGCCCAUAUUUUAAAGAAUUAAUAAAGCUAGCUUUUCAGGAACCAUGUAAGAAUAAGCAAUUGGAUUUUAAAAAUUGAAAUGGUAUUAUUAUGCUCACUCUUGUAGGCUGAACAAGAGCUACAAAAAAUUGUGUACAUCUUACAUAAUAUUUUAACUCUGGGAAGCCAAGUACAUAAUGAUCAUGAAAAUCUACUAAUUUCAAAUGCUGCUGCAGCUGAAAUUCUAUCUCCAAUUUCCACCGACUCACAUUGCCUAUUAUUUAUGAAACUGACCCGCAUCCCACCCAUGCACAAGUUCCAGGAGCCUACAGAACAUUUUGUCUAAAGUAAUAAAAACAAUAUUAGAGAACCGCUAUUGAACAUAGAAAUUAUAUUCUAUUACUUAGUUAAUAGUUGACCCCGAACUCAGAAUUUUUAAGAAAACUUCUCAACAGCACCAUCUGGUGGGCAGUGCAGCAAAAACACAAAACAAAACACAGCAAGACGAAACCCACACUCCAUACUUUGAGUUCUUGGAAGUGAUUAUCAAUUGCGCUUCAUUAAGUUUGUUUUAUUUUCCAACGUAGAGUCUACAUUAUGAGAUGUUUCCGAGGGCCAGUUGGGUAACUGACAAUUUAGUGGUAUGGCCAAGACGUUUUCUGUAACAGUUCAUAUUUCAAAUACUCAUACAUUCUAAUAACAAAUAUUCUUGAGUUUUAUAUUCUUUGUUAUGUAAUAUUAUUGUCUCGAAAAAGUGGAUUUGUAAAUUGUACAAUGAAAUGUAAUUUGAUUUUUAAUUCCUUUAAAUUUUUUUUUUUGAGGCAGAAUCCAGGCUGGAGUGCAGAGGCAUGAUCUUGGCUCAUGGCAACCUCCACCUCCUGGGUUCAAGCAAUUCUCCUGCCUCAGCCUCCUGAGUAGCUGGGACUAUGAGAUUUUUUUUUAAUGUAAGUCACAAAUCAUCAAACUUUUUUUGGAUCAUUUGUUCUAUAAUUAGGGGUGGGUAGACAAGGCGAAAGUUAGGUUACCAAUGGAAAUUUGGCUUUUACAUUUCUUACGUUAAGCUGUGCCAGGUAGUUUUGAGGCAGAUGAUGGAUGAGCAAUCUUUCUACGGCCUUCCUUCAGUGUUCUAACAUAGCCUGGGCUAAUCUCCAGCAUGCAGAACACAAGGUGGGAUCUUUUAGAAUGGCUAGUCUAAGACAAGGUAUAAACUAAGAUUUUUAUUUCUUCAACAAAUAUAUUGAGCAUCUCCGAUGUCCAGGCACUGGUCUAGGUUCCAGACACAACAACAAACAAAACACCAAAAAUGACUGCUUGUAAGGAGUUGAUAUUUUAGAGGGGGAAGCAUAGAAAGUAUUGUCAGACAGUAACUGUGCUAUGAAGAAAAUGCAAGAUCAAGGAGACAGGGAAUAUUGGGGAAGGGAAUGGUUGCUGUUGAUACGGAAUCAUCAGAGAAAGCCCUUCUAACAAGGUGACUUCAAAGCAGAAGGAAAGAAGUGAGGCAGAAAUCUGUGCAAUAGCUGAGGGAAGUGAGUUUCAGGUAGACAGAAUAGGAGGUGCAAAGGCCCUGGGGUGGGAGUUUGCUUGGCAUGUUCAGAAAAUACCAAGGAAGCCACGUUGGCUUGGACAGAGAAUGAGCAAAACAUUCAGAAGGUGAGGUCAGGGAGCUAAUGGGGUUAGAUCAUGUAGGGUCUUGUAGCAUUGUAAAGGCUGGUUUUUACUCUAAAUAAGAUAGAAAACCACGGACUAUUUUGAAUACAAGAGCUAUUCUGGCUGUUGUGUUGAUAUGGUUGUAGUAAAACAAGGGCUGAAGCAGGGAGUCCAGUUAAGACACCAUUGCCUCAGAGGAGAGGCAAUAAUAGGUUGGACCCAGUGAUAGCAGAGAAGGCAGUGAUAAAUAGUUGUAUUCUGAAUAUAUUUGCUGGUAGAGCCACCGAGAUUUACUGAUGGAUUAGAUGCGGAGAGUGAGAUAAAGAGAAGAGCUGAGGAUGACACUAAGGUGUAUGUCCUGAGCAAAUGGCAGAAUGGAGCUAUCACUUACGGAGAAUGGGGCAGAUUUACAGAAGUCUGUUUUGGGGGAGGACUGGAAGGGGGAUGGAGAAUAUCAGGAGCUCAAUUUGAACAUGUUAAGUCUUAGAUAUCCACUAGACAUCCUAACAUAAAUGUCAAAUAGACAAACAAGGGAGAGGUCUAGGCUGAAGGUACGAAUUUAGGAGUUCUCUGUGUACAGAUGAUAUUGAAAACCACGAAACUAAAUGAGAUCACUGAGACAGCAGGUAUGGAGCAUGAAAAAAAGAGAUUCAAGGCCUGGGCCCUGGGCUCUCCACUAUUUAGAGGUGGGGGAGAUAGACAACCAGUAAUGGAAACUGAGCAGGAGACCAACGAGGUGGAAGAAAUAAAGAGGCUGGUGAAGUCCUGGAAUCAGGCAAAGCAAGCUUUGUAAGGAAGAGGGAAUGAUCGAUGAGCUAAGUGAGAUGAAAACCAGGAAUUGAUCACUGGAUUCAGCAAUAAAAGUGUCACUGGUUGGCCAUGCGCGGUGGCUCACUCCUGUAAUCCCAGCACUUUGGGAGGCCGAGGCAGGUGGAUCACGAGAUUAGGAGUUCAAGAUCAGCCUGGCCAAGAUGGUGAAACCCCAUCUCUACUAAAAAUUAGCUGGGCAUGGUGGUGAGUGCCUGUAAUCCCAGCACUUUGGGAGGCCGAGGCGGGUGGAUCACGUGGUUAGGAGUUCAAGAUCAACCCGGCCAAGAUGGUGAAACCCAGUCUUUACUAAAAAUUAGCCAGGCAUGGUGGUGAGCGCCUGUAAUCCCAGCUACUUGGGAGGCUGAGGCAGAGAACUGCUUGAACCCGGGAGGCAGAGGUUGCAGUGAGCCAAGAUUGUGCCACUGCACUCCAGCCUGGGUGACAGAGCAAGACUCUGUCUAAAAAAUAAUAAAAAAAAAAGUGUCACUGGUGGACUUGACAAAGGCAGUAUUGGUAGAGUGGUGGUGAUCAAAACCUGACUGGAGUAGGUUUAAGGAAGAAUGAGAGGAAAAGAUAGGAAACAAUGAGAAAAAUCAGUAGAGAAGUUUUGCUGUGAAGAAGAAGCAAGCUGGUAGCUGGAAGGGGAAAUGGGAUCAAAUUUUUUUAAUAGAAAAAGGAUUUUUAAACAAGAUUUUAUUUAAGAUGGAAGAAAGUACAACUUUAUGUACUGAUUAGAAAGAAGCUGUAGAGAGAGGGAAGUUGAUGAAGCAGAAGAAAGGGGAGAGAAUUGCUGGGACCAGGUAUUUGAGUAGGUGAAGGGAGAUGGUAUCUAGAAUAUAGCAGAGGAGCUGAUUUUUAAUAGAUGGGCAGAUAGUUUAUUUACAGAAACAAGAGGGAAGGCAGAAUAUGUGAGCACAGAUGCAGGGAGGUGGGUAGAUGUGUUGGUGGGCACUUGAGGAAGCUCUCCUGAUUGUUUCUAUUUUCUCAGUGAAAGAAGCAAGGACAUCAGCUGAGAAGGAGGAUGGAGAAGGAGGUGACAGAAUCUGGAAGAAUAGGAGGUACGAAAGAAUCAUCUAGAGGAAUGGGGGAAUGAAUGGUCUAAAGAAAUGUGGUAGCAUGGCCUCCUUAAGGUUAAGGAGCAUACAUUUUUUAGUGAGUACAUUCUUCUCUGAAUUCCAGUAUUAACAUUCUACAUCAUUCAUUUGGCACUUGACACUCGUUACAUUCAAUUAUCGAUUAACUGUUCUUGAGAGUUCUAUCUCCCUCUUUUUCCUGAUUAUACCUCACUUGUUAGGGCCUCAACUAACAUGCCAUAAGGAAUCAUUUAAAACCACAUAACUGAGGGCUUCAGAAAAUGUGAGAACAUACGUGUGGCCCCUUGCUGCUGUGACUGUGCAGGGCGAGCCAUCUAAUUCUCCAGGGCAGUGUUAUCAAGUCCAUGGGGUUAAUCUACAUCAAACCACAUCCUCCUGCCUGUCCUCUGUCUCUAGUAAAGGUGCUAUUUUGGCCCCCAUAGUUACUUUUUGUUUUAUUUUUCAAUGUAUUCAAAAGGUGGCUGAUGCAGUCAUUUAUUAGAGACCCUCUUGAAGACCCCAAGGAGAUACAGAAGUGUUCAAUACACAUUUGAGACUAGAGGACAUGCUAAUGCAAAUGUUGAGUUUGAGAGGACUCAGGAGAAGGAUUUGGAGAGUUGAGAAAGAUCAGACAUCAGAUUAGAUGCCAUACAAUGAAAAGAGUCCACGGCCACACAGGGAUGAGUGUCCAGGUGAGGAGGGAUGCUGGGAGUUGCAGGUUUCUUGAGCAAAUUACAAAAACAGGAGCAAUGUAAGAUGAUCUGUGAACAUCACGGGACUUCCUUGGCAGCAUAUGAAGAAGCUCAUCUCCUGUA
rnacentral:lncRNA from 1 species